CUCGCCCAGGGCCUGGCACGGGGCAAGAGCUCAACCAAUGGUGAAUGGUUGUGCUCUAAAUAAAUAACCGUGUCAGAGCAGAGUGGGAAUCAAUUCAGCUUCGUGAGUCCUCUGUGACCUCAACAGCAUUGUUCCAGACCACGUGACAGAGGUGAAGGGGCCUUGGCUGUGAACAGAAGAACUCGCAGAGAUGAGGCCUUGCUAUGUCACCAGGCUGGCCCUCCCACCUCAGCCUCACGAAGUGCUGAGAGUACAGGCAUGAGCCAUCAUGCUGGGACAAUUUACAUCUGUUAAUAGAAGAAACCAACUUAUGAAACGUACUCGGCCCUAACUCAGGUGACCUAAGUAGGAUCUGAAGAAUUAUCCUCAUACCCUACCUCAAAAAAAAGGGUGAGCUCGCCUCGGAUGGCUUUUGGGAAAACUGUCUUCAGCUCUACAUGCCACAGGGAUUUCUAGACAAUCACCCAAGAGCAAAACUUGAGCUCCACGGAAGACGCACCACCAACGCCCUAUUCCAGAUGAGAAGAGCAGAGCACGGAGAGGUCAGGAGACCCACCAAGGCUGGCUUGUCUCAAACUCUUGGACUCAAGUGAUCAUCCCGCCUCGGCCUCUCCGUGGCGUAAGCCACCGCAUCAGGCCCUGCCCUGCGCUUUAUAAGAUGCUCCAGUUUCCAUCACUCGACCUGACCAGGCACCUUUAAAUGUCCACACUCAAGACCUGACCCUCUCAAGCGCCUGAAGUCAAAGACAUCUUUGGUCCUUAAAAAACAAAAUUCCUCCCAUAGUCUGAAGCCAUGAAAGGUUCUGGCCGCCUGGACGCUUAUUUGCUUUUGACAGUUCUGUCGUAUGUGCAGCUUUUGCUGUGAGCCACCUCAAAUGCUCUUUUGGAAGUAGGUGUGGUAUAAAUAAUAAAUA